rnacentral:lncRNA from 1 species
UCAUCACGCCCCACCCCGAGCGCCGGCAGUCCACAUACGCGCCCCGGUAGACGGACCCCGAUCGCCACACGUAUGUGCCCUGGCCUUGGCGUAUCCCGUCGACGUACUCGCCGUCGUACCGGUCGCCGUCGUCGGCCUCGAUUGUGCGGCCGUGCUUUUUGCCGCGCGCCCAUUGACCUUCUUCGGUGCGCGAUCCGCCAGAGGCCGACGCCAGCGCAAAGGCGUCCCGCGGGUCGACGUCGCGCGCCCUAGUCAGGCACUCGACGUACACGUGUAGUCCGUAGCCGUGCGGCACACCGCCGUCCAGGUCGCCGCAGUAAAAGUGGCCCAUCUUUGUCAUGGCCACGCAGCCGGGUCCCUCUGCCGGGGCGGCGUCGGCACGCCGAGAGCGCGCCCGGUAGAGCCAACGCCAGUCCUUGCCAAACUCGGCAAAGUGCUUGUGCACCGACGGUCCGUAGCGGCGGACGUAUAGGCUCUGCCAUAGCGUGUCGUCACGGCUCAGGGCAGCGAGGCGGCGGGCCACGGACGCCGCACGGGCCGGCACCUCGGCGUCGGACAGCGCACUGAAUACGCCCAGCAAAAGUUCGUCGGGCAGUGCAAGCAAGAGGCACUCGUCGACCGCAUUGUCGUCAUGCAAAUCGACGGCCGACGGCGGCGUGUGCCUGUCGUUGGCGGGCCUGCCAUCGUCGCCAUCAUCAUCUUCUCUGUCGCUGCCUCCUCUGCGCAGAGCACAGUCGAGAUCCAUUCCUUCGAGAGACAUGCCCGACUGUCGCUUUUUCUUUCUUCUUUUGCGGGCAGCAGACAGUUUUGCCCGACAAGCGGUGGCCAGACAAAAAAGGCGUUGGCCUUGACUGUUGCGCGUGUGGGUCUCGCCAAACCAUAACCCCCCGGACGGAACCCAACAUCUUGACGAUCGCCCACGACCAAUGGACUCUUCUUUUUUUUCAUUCGCGCAAACAAAAAUUUUGGCAAACAAAAAAGAGAACGGCGCGA